UACGUAGGGAGCAAGCGUUGUUCGGAUUUACUGGGCGUAAAGGGCGCGUAGGCGGCAAAUUAAGUCAGCUGUGAAAUCUCCGAGCUUAACUCGGAACUGUCAGCUGAUACUGAUCUGCUAGAGUGCGGAAGGGGCAAUCGGAAUUCUUGGUGUAGCGGUGAAAUGCGUAGAUAUCAAGAGGAACACCUGAGGUGAAGACGGGUUGCUGGGCCGACACUGACGCGGAGUGCGCGAAAGCCAGGGGAGCAAACGGG
rnacentral:rRNA from 1 species